rnacentral:rRNA from 1 species
AACGAACGCUGGCGGCAGGCUUAACACAUGCAAGUCGAACGAGAUCUUCGGAUCUAGUGGCAGACGGGUGAGGAACACGUGGGAACAUCCCUUUCAGUUCGGAAUAACGUUGGGAAACUAACGCUAAUACCGGAUACGUCCUUCGGGAGAAAGAUUUAUCGCUGAAAGAUUGGCCCGCGUCUGAUUAGCUAGUUGGUGAGGUAAUGGCUCACCAAGGCUACGAUCAGUAGCUGAUCUGAGAGGAUGAUCAGCCACAUUGGGACUGAGACACGGCCCAAACUCCGACGGGAGGCAGCAGUGGGGAACAUUGGACAAUGGGCGCAAGCCUGAUCCAGCCAUGCCGCGUGAGUGAUGACGGCCUUCGGGUUGUAAAGCUCUUUUGUCCGGGAAGAUAAUGACUGUACCGGAAGAAUAAGCCCCGGCAAACUUCGUGCCAGCCGCCGCGGUAA